UACGGAGGGGGCUAGCGUUGUUCGGAAUUACUGGGCGUAAAGCGCGCGUAGGCGGCACUGUUAGUCAGGCGUGAAAGUCCUGGGCUCAACCUGGGAACUGCGCUUGAUACGGCAGAGCUAGAGGAUGGAAGAGGGUCGCGGAAUUCCCAGUGUAGAGGUGAAAUUCGUAGAUAUUGGGAAGAACACCGGUGGCGAAGGCGGCGACCUGGUCCAUUACUGACGCUGAGGCGCGACAGCGUGGGGAGCAAACAGG
rnacentral:rRNA from 1 species